GCACAUGGCUCAGUGGUUAGAGCGUCGGACUCAUAAUCAGGAGGUCGUGAGUUCGAUUCCCGGACCGUGCA
rnacentral:tRNA from 1 species